CCAAAUAAGGUCACAUUCUGAUCUCCAGGGGGGUUAAGACUGCAACCUAUAAAUUUGGGGGACAGACACAAUCUGACAUAAUAUUCCCUAACACAGUAUUUCUUUGACAGCCCAUAUUCUCUGCUUCAGGCUGAGUGUGCAGGGCCUCAUCCACCAGAGUUAUAAGAAGGGACCGAGGAUGUUGAAAGUAAGAUGAGACUCAAGAUUCCGGAAUGUGUUCAAACUGCAGAACCAAAGAGGAAAUCAUCUAAAAAGAAAGCCAGAUGGAUUGCCAAACUUAAAGUUUCAGAACAAAGCAUUAAAACUAAGAUAAGAAUACGGGAAUUGGAUUCAACAUAAAUACACAAAAAGCAGGCAAAUAACUUGUGGUCUAACUAUAAAAAAUAAAGUUUUGAUGACCUAAUCCGCAGCUGUCUGACCUGCGACCAGGGUUCCCCCACGAAGGAAACUUGUGUGUACUGAUCCUGGGCAAGGAGGACACAAAGGAUCAGGAGGGCAGUUCUCCAUCCCCAGUCAUACAAGGCAGAAAUGAAGAGUCAGGCAAAGAGAGAGAGAGAGAAAGAAAGAGGAAGAGGGAGUGUUGGCACACAUGGCAACUAGCAGUAUAAUAAGGGAAUAGGGUGUGGAUCACUUUAAGCUCACGAUAGAUAAUAAAUGAAUGAAUGAAUAAAUGCAUGCCUGA